GAUGAACGCUGGCGGCGUGCCUAAUACAUGCAAGUCGAGCGAACAGACGAGGAGCUUGCUCCUCUGACGUUAGCGGCGGACGGGUGAGUAACACGUGGAUAACCUACCUAUAAGACUGGGAUAACUUCGGGAAACCGGAGCUAAUACCGGAUAAUAUAUUGAACCGCAUGGUUCAAUAGUGAAAGACGGUUUUGCUGUCACUUAUAGAUGGAUCCGCGCCGCAUUAGCUAGUUGGUAAGGUAACGGCUUACCAAGGCAACGAUGCGUAGCCGACCUGAGAGGGUGAUCGGCCACACUGGAACUGAGACACGGUCCAGACUCCUACGGGAGGCAGCAGUAGGGAAUCUUACGCAAUGGGGGAAAGCCUGACGGAGCAACGCCGCGUGAGUGAUGAAGGUCUUCGGAUCGUAAAACGCUGUUAUUAGGGAAGAACAAAUGUGUAAGUAACUAUGCACGUCUUGACGGUACCUAAUCAGAAAGCCACGGCUAACUACGUG
rnacentral:rRNA from 1 species